rnacentral:rRNA from 1 species
CACUUCUAAGGAAGGCAGCAGGCGCGCAAAUUACCCAAUCCUGACUCAGGGAGGUAGUGACAAGAAAUAACAAUAAACCGGCUUAUGCCGGUUUAAUUGGAAUGAGUACAAUUUAAACAUCUUAACGAGGAACAAUUGGAGGGCAAGUCUGGUGCCAGCAGCCGCGGUAAUUCCAGCUCCAAUAGCGUAUACUAAAGUUGUUGCAGUUAAAAAGCUCGUAGUUGGAUUUCUGUGGGGACGGAGCGGCCGGCCGCAACACGCGGUUCGAGCUAGCGCUUUCCCUACAUCCUGCCGCGAACCGUGCUACCAUUAAUUUGGUGGCGCCGGGGAUCGGCUCGAUUACUUUGAGAAAAAUAGAGUGUUCAAAGCAGGCCACAUGCCUUGAAUAAGUUAGCAUGGAAUAAUAACUAAGGACUUCGGUUCUAUUUUGUUGGUGUUCGGGACUGAAGUAAUGAUUGAUAGGGACAGUUGGGGCGGUCUGUAUUCCAAAGCGAGAGGUGAAAUUCUUAGACCUUCGGAAGACAAACAGCUGCGAAAGCGUUCCGCAAGGAUGUUCCCUUUGAUCAAGAACGAAAGUUGGGGGAUCGAAGACGAUCAGAUACCGUCGUAGUCUCAACUAUAAACUAUACCAGCUAGGGAUCGGCCAACGUUAUUUAAACCGACUUGGUCGGCACCUUAUGAGAAAUCAAAGCAUCUGGGUUCCGGGGGGAGUAUGGUCGCAAGGCUGAAACUUAAAGGAAUUGACGGAAGGGCACCACCAGCCGUGGAGCCUGUGGCUUAAUUUGACUCAACACGGGAAAACUUACCAGGUCCAGACAUAGUAAGGAUUGACAGAUUGAUAGCUCUUUCUUGAUUCUGUGGGUGGUGGUGCAUGGCCGUUCUUAGUUGGUGGAGUGAUUUGUCUGGUUAAUUCCGUUAACGAACGAGACCCCAGCCUGCUAAAUAGCGCGCGUGAGCUUUGCUCGCGGCGAGCUUCUUAGAGGGACUAUGAUGCGCGAUAGCACAUGGAAGUUUGGGGCAAUAACAGGUCUGUGAUGCCCUUAGAUGUUCUGGGCCGCACACGGGCUACACUGGCGCCUGCAACGAGCAUAUCAGCUGGCCCGAGAGGGUCUUGGCUAAUCUUUUGAACCGGCGCCGUGCUUGGGAUUGACCUUUGCAAUUGUUGGUCAUGCAACGAGGAAUGCCUUGUAAACGCGAGUCAUCAGCUCGCAUUGAAUACGUCCCUGCCCUUUGUACACACCGCCCGUCGCUCCUACCGAUGAAUGUUCCGAUGAAAUUUUCGGAGAGCACCUGUGAACUUGGCUCUGCCUUGCGAACGGGAGGCUCAAAGUCACUUAAAUCUGAACAUUUCGAGG